rnacentral:rRNA from 1 species
AUUGAACGCUGGCGGCGUGCUUUACACAUGCAAGUCGGACGAGUGGCGAACGGGUGAGUAACGCAUCGGAACGUACCGAGUAAUGGGGGAUAACUGUCCGAAAGGACAGCUAAUACCGCAUAUUAUUCGAGCGGCCGAUGUCUGAUUAGCUGUUUGGCGGGGUAAAGGCCAACCAAGGCGACGAUCAGUAGCGGGUCUGAGAGGAUGAUCCGCCACCCUGGGACGUAGAAACGGCCCAGACUCCUACGUGAGGCAGCAGUGGGGAAUUUUGCACAAUGGGCGCAAGCCUGAUGCAGCCAUGCCGCGUGUGUGAAGAAGGCCUUCGGGUUGUAAAGCACUUUCAGCGGGGAGGCGUUACCCGCAGAAGAAGCACCGGCUAACUCCGUGCCAGCCGCCGCGGUAAUAC